rnacentral:rRNA from 1 species
CCCCUAGAUGAUCUGGGCCGCACGCGCGCUACACUGAACAGUUCAACAAGUCUUAACCUUGGCCGAUAGGUCUGGGUAAUCUUUGAACGCUGUUCGUGAUUGGGAUAGACCUUUGCAAUUAUGGGUCUUCAACGAGGAAUUCCUAGUAAACGCAAGUCAUCAGCUUGCAUUGAUUACGUCCCUGCCCUUUGUACACACCGCCCGUCGCACCUACCGAUUGAAUGGUCCGGUGAAAUCUCGGGACGGCGGCUUGGUCGCUUGCGUCCGACUGCUGAAACUUGAUUAAACCAUAUCAUUUAGAGGAAGGUGAAGUCGUAACA